rnacentral:rRNA from 1 species
GAUGAACGCUGGCGGCGUGCUUAACACAUGCAAGUCGAACGGAAAGGCUCCUGCUUGCAGGGGUACUCGAGUGGCGAACGGGUGAGUAACACGUGGGUGAUCUGCCCUGCACUUCGGGAUAAGCCUGGGAAACUGGGUCUAAUACCGGAUAGGACGAUGGUUUGGAUGCCAUUGUGGAAAGUUUUUUCGGUGUGGGAUGAGCUCGCGGCCUAUCAGCUUGUUGGUGGGGUAAUGGCCUACCAAGGCGUCGACGGGUAGCCGUCCUGAGAGGGUGUACGGCCACAUUGGGACUGCGGUACGGACCAGACUCCUACGGGAGGCAGCAGUGGGGAGUAUUGCACAAUGGGCGCACGCCUGAUGCAGCGGCGCCGGGUGGGGGAUGACGGCCUUCGGGUUGUAAACUCCUUUCGCUAGGGACGAAGCGCUAGUGACGGUACCUGGAGAAGAAGCACCGGCUAACUACGUG